CCUACGGGGGGCUGCAGUCGAGAAUAUUCCACAAUGGACGAAAGUCUGAUGGAGCGACGCCGCGUGCGGGAUGAAGGCCCUCGGGUUGUAAACCGCUUUUUUCAGGGAGCAAUUUCGAUGAGAGUACCUGAAGAAUAAGAGGUUACUAACUCUGUGCCAGCAGUAGCGGUAAUACAGAGACCUCAAGCGUUAUCCGGAUUUAUUGGGCGUAAAGCGCAGGUAGGCGGGUUUAUUAGUCGGAUGUCAAAGACCGGGGCUCAACUCCGGGAAGGCAUUCGAAACGGUAUACCUAGAGAAUGUGAGAGAUGAGUGGAAUUCAUGGUGUAGUAGUGAAAUGCGUUGAUAUCAUGAGGAACACCGAAGGCGAAGGCAACUCAUUGGCACAUUUCUGACGCUGAGCUGCGAAAGCGUGGGGAGCGAAUGGGCUUAGAUACCCCGGUAGUC
rnacentral:rRNA from 1 species